rnacentral:rRNA from 1 species
UGCGCCAGCGAUGGCCGGUUGCGAGGUGCUGCAUGGUUGUCGUCAGCUCGUGCCGUGAGGUGUCGGGUUAAGUCCCAUAACGAGCGCAACCCCUACCUGCUAGUUGCCAGCGGGUCGAUGCCGGGGACGUCUAGCGGAACUGCCAGCGUAAGCUGCGAGGAAGGUGGGGAUGACGUCAAAUCAGCACGGCCCUUACGUCCAGGGCUACACACGUGUUACAAUGGCCAGUACAGAGGGCAGCCACCCCGCGAGGGGGCGCUAAUCCUAAAAGCUGGUCCCAGUUCGGAUCGGAGUCUGCAACCCGACUCCGUGAAGCUGGAUUCGCUAGUAAUCGCGCAUCAGCCACGGCGCGGUGAAUACGUUCCCGGGCCUU